AAAGAUUAAGCCAUGCAUGUCUAAGUAUGAACUAUCUAUUGUGAAACCGCGAAUGGCUCAUUACAACAGCCAUAGUUUACUGGAUAUAUUCCAUUACAUGGAUAACUGUGGUAAUUCUACAGCUAAUACACGCAUCAAAAGCCCGACUAUGGGAGGGCUGCGUUAGUUACUUCAAACUGAUCAGUCUUCGGACUGCAUUCAAGUGAGAUUGAACUAUUUAGCUGAUCGCACGGUCUAAGAACCGGCGACAUAUCCUUCAAAUGUCUGCCUUAUCAACUGUCGAUGGUAGAUUAUGCGCCUACCAUGGUUGUAACGGGUAACGGAGAAUCAGGGUUUGAUUCCGGAGAGGGAGCCUGAGAAAUGGCUACCACAUCCAAGGAAGGCAGCAGGCACGCAAAUUACCCAUUCCCGGCACGGGGAGGUAGUGACGAAAAAUAACAAGCUGGUCUCUUUGAGUUCCGGCAUUGUAAUGGGAACAACUUAAAUCAUUUAUCGAGGAUCUAUUGGAGGGCAAGUCUGGUGCCAGCAGCCGCGGUAAUUCCAGCUCCAAUAGCGUAUAUUAAAGUUGUUGCGGUUAAAAAGCUCGUAGUUGGAUCUACGAUCCAGGCCAGUGGUCGCCCUUCUCGGGUGCACUGCUCGGACUGAUCGACAUAUCUGGUGAACGAUUGUUGCUCUUCAUUGAGUGACUCUAGUUGCUGGAACGUUUACCUUGAAAAAAUUGAAGUGCUCAAAGCAGGCAUAUGCCUGGACAUUGCUGCAUGGGAUAAUUGAAUAGGACUUCGGUUCUAUUUUGUUGGUUUCGGAACGCGGAGUAAUGAUUAAUAGGGACAGACGGGGGCAUACGUAUUGCUGCGUUAGAGGUGAAAUUCUUGGAUCGUAGCAAGACGACCUACUGCGAAAGCAUUUGCCAAGAAUGUUUUCAUUAAUCAAGAACGAAAGUUAGAGGUUCGAAGGCGAUCAGAUACCGCCCUAGUUCUAACCGUAAACGAUGUUAACUAGCGACUCGCAGGUGUUACUUUAACGGCCCUGCGAGGAGCUCCCGGGAAACCUAAGUGUUCGAAUUCCGGGGGAAGUAUGGUUGCAAAGCUGAAACUUAAAGGAAUUGACGGAAGGGCACCACCAGGAGUGGAGCUUGCGGCUUAAUUUGACUCAACGCGGGGAAACUCACUUGGUCAGGACACUGUAAGGAUUGACAGAUUGAAAGCUCUUUCUUGAUUCGGUGGAUGGUGGUGCAUGGCCGUUCUUAGUUGGUGGAGUGAUUUGUCUGGUUAAUUCCGAUAACGAGCGAGA
rnacentral:rRNA from 1 species